rnacentral:lncRNA from 1 species
UUGAUAUUGUUUUCUGUAAACAGAUACAUAUGGUAAGGGAUCUAGAUGGGAACAACAUGAAUUUUAUAUUGUUGGUAUUCGGCGAAGAUUCAAUCUUGUUGCCAGAUACAUCGAGAACUGACGUAACAAUUCCAACAAAUUGGUGAUUAUCGGGAGGAAAAACAACCAACGGAGGGUUCGAAAGAUGACAAUAAUUGGCGUCGAAGGAUGGAGGCGAAGGUUGACAGGACGUAUGAUGAGGUUGCAGUCGUCAAACAAAUGCUUGCAGCAACAAUGUGGCAACUCAACAUCCAAUAUCCACCACCCGGUUCACAAUAAUAAAGUUACACCUAUUCAACUUUAAUGCUUUGUUUUGGCUGC